GUGGAUAUAGCUCAGUUGGUAAGAGUGCUUGCCUUGCAUGCAGAAGGUCCUGGGUUCAAUCCCCUACACACACA
rnacentral:tRNA from 1 species